GCCGGUGUGUCGGAAUGGCAGACGAGGUGGACUCAAAAUCCAUUGGUGGCAACACCGUGCGGGUUCAAGUCCCGCCACCGGCACCA
rnacentral:tRNA from 1 species